rnacentral:rRNA from 1 species
AGAGAGAGACAUGCGCGCAUAUCAAUAAGCGGAGGAAAAGAAACUAACUAGGAUUCCCUCAGUAACGGCGAGUGAAGCGGGAAGAGCUCAAAUUUGAAAUCUUCAAGGUUCUACCUUGACGAAUUGUAGUUUAAAGAAGUGUUUUCUGUUGGAGUUUUGGUAAAAGUUCUUUGGAAUAGGACAUCAUAGAGGGUGAGAAUCCCGUAUUUGACCAUUAUUUCCAGCUUUGUGAUACACUUUCAAAGAGUCGGAUUGUUUGGGAAUGCAGUCCAAAAUGGGUGGUAAAUUUCAUCUAAAGCUAAAUAUUGGCGAGAGACCGAUAGCGAACAAGUACCGUGAGGGAAAGAUGAAAAGAACUUUGAAAAGAGAGUUAAACAGUACGUGAAAUUGUCAAAAGGGAAGCGUUCGACACCAGUGUUGUUUUCUCGAAAAUCAAUUAAAAAAGGCAGGAUUUUGUGUUGUAUUGACUUUAUCAGCUUUCUGCACUCUUUUCUUGUCUUUUUUAAUGCACUUUUCGUUUAACAAGUCAACAUCAAUUUCUUUUGUUGUAAAAGGGUCAUUGGAAGGUGGCUUUCUUUUCGGAGAAAGUGUUUAUAGCCUUUGGCCUCUGCAAUCGGAGAGAUUGAGGUCUGCAGCGUAGAUCCUUCGGGGUUAGAUACAUUUGUGCUAAGUUAUAGCCUUUCAUAGACAACUUGUUGACUAUGAUCAGUCAUGUAGCUUACUCGCUUAUGCUAUUUUACCUACGCUUAGGAUGUUGAUGUGAUACUGCGAGCA